rnacentral:lncRNA from 1 species
UAAUGGGAAGGCCUUGACUUAGGCUGCUUGUCUCUAGCCAGUGUGUGAGGGUGGAGACUAGCGGCCUGCAAUGAGGUAAUGCCCUUUGUAUUUUGAGAAGCUCUAAAUCCCCAAGCUUGGCUACUUCUCCCUUAUCUUUGCAUAAAGCAUUAUAGAUUUUAAGUAAUAUAUGAUUACAUUUUCUAUUUUUCCCAUAUUCAAGCUAGUGUGCUCAUUUUUCAUCCAUAUGGAAUGAAUUUUUUUUUUAAGUGGAUGAGGCGUUAAAUAACCACACCUCACUAACAGUGUUCCCAAGAGUGCAUAACUUGGUAGUGUUUGCAGUUCUGUAGAAUGUAAUAAUCUGUCGUGUGCAGGCGUGUGGAUUUCUGUUUACUGGCAUCCUUCAUUAGAGGGUAACAUAAUAUACAGAAUUUCCCAGUUGCAGAAAUUAGAAGUAGGAAGCAGCUUCCUUCAACAGAAACUGGAAAACUGAUUUAUGGACUUCACUUUUCUUCUCUCUCUCCAACUUGAGAAAGUGACAGAGUCCUCGAGAGGAAGGAAAGGAGUUGAUGUGGCAGAAGACCUUUUAUCACAGGUUAAUUCAAUUAAUUUGGGAUCGCCAUUCACACGGAGCAAUAAUGGGGUCCGCAGCCGCAGAGAUGCACAGCAGCACUUGAGAAGAUAGGAGAGGGUGGGAAAAACUGAGACUGUCUUCUCCACUUCACCCUGUGAAUUGGGAGUUUUCAGAAUAGCAGCCUGACUGAAUACCAGUGAACUCAUAAGGUUGAUUUUUCGCCCCCAGUUUUCCCCAAGAUCUUACUUUUUUUUUUUUCCAAACUUGGAAAUCGUACAAAUUACAGAAUUAAGAGGUUAUUUAUUUAUUUAUUUAUUUACUUCUUUUUAUCUGCCUUUUCUCUUCUCAGGCCAUAGCUAUAACAUCAUAGGGCCAAGCCUUGCUCAGGGAACCAGAACUCCGACUUUCACUUAAAGUAUGGGCACUGAUUGGGUAAUAUAUUUGGAAUUUCUGUGGUUUUAUUUCCAUUGAGGGACAGUGUGCUUAUUAAUUAAUGAAAAGGGGCUGGGGGUGAGUUCCGUGGAUAAGAGUGCUGGCUUAGCAUGCAGGAAGCCCUGGGCUUGAUCCCUCCUAUUACAUAAACUGGCAAUGGUGGCCCAGGCCUGUGACCUCAGCACUUGGGGCGUGGCCAGAGACACAGAAGUUGUCAUCCUCAGCCACGUAAAAGCUUUCCAGAUCAGCCUGGCCUGCACCAGACUCUUAGACAAACUAGAAUUGACAUGUUCCCCUGUUCACGAGUAAAGCAUGCUGUACUACGGUCACGAGGAAGACCUCAGCGUUCAGAGAACCAAGGUGUAGCGGUCACUGCCAAGUUUGCGUUUAGGGGACACAUUUGUAGUUUGAAGCCCGUCCGUUAUUAAAUGGGGGGUAGUGAGAAUAAAUGGAUUUAACUUUCAGUUUAGAGUUGGGAAGAAUAAGUAAGAAAAGAUGUAUUGAGAAAGAAUACUAGGAAACAAGUGGACUUAAUGGGCCAGGCCAAUCGAAACAUUUGAAUUGAUAAAUCUAAGAGCUACCUAUUUGGGGGGAGAAAGAAAAAGAAAUGGGCCAAGUCAUUAUGGCGUCUAAGUAAGAAAAGAGCUAAAACCAAGUUGGCAUUGUGGAAAUGGAGUAGCAUUCUACCUUGUAUUUGAAAUGAAAUCUUUUUUUUUUUUUUGUGAGAUAAAAUACAGUCAUUUAAAAUACAAAUGUGAAAAAUCCCAGGGAGGAGACUAUUUUAGGGAAAUGACUCAGACAUCUAAAAAUUUAAACCAAGAACU